ensembl:lncRNA novel transcript, sense overlapping to CCNB2
GCUUAAAAAAAAAAAGUCACUGGUGACAGUGUUUCUUAUGUGAGAAUGGUGUUAUGGAUAGGUACGAAAACGUACUUUUUAGAAUAUGCUUCUGAAACAUUUAGCAGGGAUGUGCUGUGAUAUCUGCAAAUCGCUUUCAAAUGGCAUAGCAAAAAUUGUGUGUGAGUAUACACAGAGAGGGAGAGGAGGGAAACGUGGCACAUGUUCAUGAUUGAUCAGUCUACAUGAAGGAUAUAUAGAGGAUCAUUCUUUCAGUUUUUCUGUAGAUUUGGAAUUUUUUGAAAUAAAUAAAACAUUUGAGGCAAAAAUGUCACUGGUACAUGGUACCAAUGGCUCAUUUUUAGUCACCUUACUCUUAAAUGUGCUUCGCUCUCCCAGUUUUCUGAGAAUUUAUUUCAAAAGGCUAGAAAUUGUGCAUUAUUUCAGUUUUUACUCGUUUCCUCUUUCUUCCCUUCAAAGUAUUUUAGGAUUAAAUUGUGUAGACUGGGCACAGUGGCUCACACCUGUAGUUUCAGCAGUUUUGGAGGCUGAGGCGGGAAGACUGCUUGAGCCCAGAGCUUUGAGACCAGCUGGGCAACACAGGGAGACCCCAUCUGUACAAAUAAUUAGCCGAAUGUGGUGGCACAUGCUUGU